rnacentral:tRNA from 1 species
AAGAUUUUAAGUUAAUAAAACUAUAUACCUUCAAAGUAUAAAAUAAUUUUAAAUUAAAUCUUA